UGAGGGAAUAUUUGGGGUCAAUGGGCGGAAGCCUGAACCAGCCAAGUAGCGUGAGGGAUGACUGCCCUAUGGGUUGUAAACCUCUUUUAUAAGGGAAUAAAAUACGGGACGUGUCCUGUUUUGCAUGUACCUUAUGAAUAAGGACCGGCUAAUUCCGUGCCAGCAGCCGCGGUAAUACGGAAGGUCCGGGCGUUAUCCGGAUUUAUUGGGUUUAAAGGGAGCGUAGGCCGGAGGGUAAGCGUGUUGUGAAAUGCAGUUGCUCAACAUCUGCACUGCAGCGCGAACUGUUCUCCUUGAGUGCGCAGGAAGUAGGCGGAAUUCGUCGUGUAGCGGUGAAAUGCUUAGAUAUGACGAAGAACUCCGAUUGGGAAGCCAGCUUACUGUAGCGCCAC
rnacentral:rRNA from 1 species